rnacentral:rRNA from 1 species
AUUCCAGCUCCAAUAGCGUAUAUUAAAGUUGUUGCAGUUAAAACGCUCGUAGUCGGAUUUCGGGGCGGGCCGACCGGUCUGCCGAUGGGUAUGCACUGGCCGGCGCGUCCUUCCACCCGGAGACCGCGCCUACUCUUAACUGAGCGGGCGCGGGAGACGGGUCUUUUACUUUGAAAAAAUCAGAGUGUUUCAAGCAGGCAGUCGCUCUUGCAUGGAUUAGCAUGGGAUAAUGAAAUAGGACUCUGGUGCUAUUUUGUUGGUUUCGAACACCGGAGUAAUGAUUAACAGGGACAUUCAGGGGCACUCGUAUUCCGCCGAGAGAGGUGAAAUUCUCAGACCAGCGGAAGACGAACCACUGCGAAAGCAUUUGCCAGGGAUGUUUUCAUCA